rnacentral:rRNA from 1 species
UACGGAGGGUGCAAGCGUUAUCCGGAUUCACUGGGUUUAAAGGGUGCGUAGGUGGAUUAGUAAGUCAGUGGUGAAAUCUCCGGGCUUAACCCGGAAACUGCCAUUGAUACUAUUAGUCUUGAAUACCGUGGAGGUCAGCGGAAUAUGUCAUGUAGCGGUGAAAUGCUUAGAUAUGACAUAGAACACCGAUUGCGAAGGCAGCUCACUAAACAAUGAUUGACGCUGAGGCACGAAAGCGUGGGGAUCAAACAGG